rnacentral:rRNA from 1 species
UACGUAGGGUGCAAGCGUUAAUCGGAAUUACUGGGCGUAAAGCGUGCGCAGGCGGCUUUGCAAGACAGAUGUGAAAUCCCCGGGCUUAACCUGGGAACUGCAUUUGUGACUGCAUGGCUAGAGUGCGGCAGAGGGGGAUGGAAUUCCGCGUGUAGCAGUGAAAUGCGUAGAGAUGUGGAGGAACACCGAUGGCGAAGGCAGCCUCCUGGGCCAAUACUGACGCUCAUGCACGAAAGCGUGGGGAGCAAACAGG